rnacentral:rRNA from 1 species
UACGUAGGCAGCGAGCGUUGUUCGGAAUUACUGGGCGUAAAGAGUGUGUAGGCGGUGCUCUAAGUUUGGUGUGAAAUCUCCCGGCUCAACUGGGAGGGUGCAUCGAAAACUGGAGUGCUCGAGGGUGGGAGAGGUAAGCGGAAUUCCUGGUGUAGCGGUGGAAUGCGCAGAUAUCAGGAGGAACACCGGUGGCGAAGGCGGGUCUCUGGGCAGUAACUGACGCUGAGGAGCGAAAGCGUGGGGAGCGAACAGG